AGGGGGCUGUCCUCAGGGGGCAGCAGGCGCUUCUCUCGCCGGGGCCGCCAUGGAGAGAACCGUCUACCUGCCGGGCAGAGGGGGUGCUGGGUCAGGGCUUGGGGCUCCUGGGCGCCAGAGGAUAGUAACGGGUACGAAGUGAUAGAAAUGAAAGGGGCCCCGAGAGAGAGAGAAUGAGGGGAGGCCACCAAGGAUAUCAAGCUGAAGGAGUGAAUGCACAAAACCAGAGCACCAGUGUCUCAGCUCACAAUGAAGGGAGCAGAGUGUCGCCUGUGUAUCUGUUACAGGGCCUUUUCCUAGAAGGCCAGGUGGCUGAAGACAAAAUCAGGGGCCCAGCCAGGCCUGGCUGAAGGAUCCAGGUGGCGUCUGGGGAUACCGCCCCACCCAGGGCUCCACGUUCUCUUCUGAGCUCUCCAGCUAUUGCCGGAUUUAGUUCCGUCUCAGGAAGCUGGGCCAGCCGUCUGCAAGGCCCGUAAUGACUCCUGAAUACUUCUGGUGCUUCGGCUCACCCCGCCUUCCUUGUCGCUGUUAAGGAUUCCAGGGACCCACCCAGCUAAUCCAGGAUACUCUUCCCAUGCGAAGCUGGUCUGGGCAUUCAGGUGUCUCUGGGAGUCCCCAGGGAAUGACAGGUGUGUUUCGUGGUAUCACCUGUUCCUGUCUUCUUGAUGGGAUGGCCUGGGUGCCAUUAUCACAGCCACUCCUGGGCAUCAUCGCUUCUGCCCGACACCUCAGCUGACCCUCGGGAGCCAUCAGACGGUCAAGACUUCACGGGGUCCUUUAGAGAAAUGGCAAAGAAAGUCCUCCUGCAACCCUUCUGUCUCCGUCCUGGGACACUGGCUUACGUUGCUAGAGUGACAGAUUCCACACUGAACUCGAAAUCAUGCGUUCCAAAGAUAAAGAAACUGAAACUCAGAGAAGUGAAUGACCUGCUGGAAGUCACACAGCCAGGAAGAAGGGGAGUCUGGAUCCCCUGUCCCUGGACCCUUUGGAGCAGCUGCAGGAGGGUUGCUUCUGAUGGCUUCCAGCUGCCCUUUCACUGCAGACGAGCCCUCAGCCAGGCGAGAGCUGUCCCCCAGGAAGUUGCCCCGCACCGCACCGCACCACCUGGGCAGAUGGCAGCCCAUGACUGGCUGAUGUAUUGCAAAAGGCCACCUCAAGCCUCAAGUUGUUUUUGGUGAAGAGGCUGGUAUGAUACAAGCUCAUCCACCGUAUCCAGAGGAAAAGCAAAGAGCAUGGACUUUGGAGCCAAAUUUCCAGGAUUCAAACCUUAACUCCAUCGCUUACUUGUCCUGUGAUCAUCAACAAGCUAGUGAAGCAGACCAGAUCAAGCACAUGGGGAAACAAUGCAAGGAGAGGAAAAUGUGACCCCUGGACUUACUUCUCAUAUAAGAUGAGAUGCCUCAUUAAGCCCACAUCCAUCUGGGCCCACAGGGAUGACAAGAGAGGAGAAGGCCGGGGCCUGAGAAGUGUGGAGUCAAGGCCAACCUUCUGCUGCUGGCAGCAGAAGUCAGCCGGCUUGGCUUGGAGGGGCAGGCUGGGGCACCUCCGGAAGCAGCCUGUCUCCUCCCCACGGGGUCAGGCUGAGGGGCAGGCUGUCGUCAGACGCAGGUCCUGCUGCCCCUCCUCUCGGAUGAGACACGCUGUCAGGGAAGGACGGCCCAGCCUCAGCCUCCGCUCCAGCCUGGGCUCAUCUUACACUUACAGACCCAGAUCAGAGGAUAGGAUGCUGUGACAAGCCCAGCUCACUGAAAGUGCUCAGCUCAAUGAAUCCUCCAAAACUGAACACCCUCAGUUUGAGAAGCAGGCCAUGCCCACAAGUCAGGAAACUCCCAGCCGUGAGUUGCUCCCAGUUACUCUCUCCUCCCCGCGUCAACCACUCUCCUGAAUAUUAUUUUUUUUAACCAUUAGAUUUCAAUUUUCCAAAUUUUUUGUUUUGAAAACAUUUUAAUUUACAAACUAAAUUGGAAUAAUAGAAUAGGAGCACCCAUCUACUCACUGAGAUAUACCAAUUGUUAACAUUUUGCUACAUAUUCUCUGUCUGUCUGUCUCGCUUUCUGUCUCUCUUUUUUCUCCCCCAUCCCCAUAGACACAAUUUUCUGAGCCACUUGAGAGUUAUUUGCUGGCAUUGCGACACUUCAUCCCUAAAUAUCUCAGCACACAUCCUAAGAACAAGAGCAUUUAUAUAGUGCAAUUGUCACAAUAAAGAAAUUUAACAUGGCUACAAUAUCAUUAUAUAAUGUACAG